CGGGGCAUGACCGUGCGCUGGGGGAUGCUCGGGUGGGGAGGAGGAGAACAUUCUUGAGGAGGGAGAGGCUCCGGUGGACCGGGUUUUCUAUACUCAGGGGGAGUGACUUCUACAAUGAGAGAACACAUUUUACCAGAUAUAAAACCCAGGUCCAUAAACCCAGGACAACCUAGGGAGAGACCAUGACAAGACGAUUCGGAGAAGCACAAAUACAAGAUGCUAAGGAACCUAAGCAGCUCCGCAGGAGAAAGGCCAACUGGAAAAGCAAAAGGGCCUUGUCGCCAGGCAGGGAAUUUUCCGAAGGGGGCGAGCUGAAGGCAGCAGCCCGCCCGAGAGGGGCCCAGCCGGCGCAGACGCAGAAAGAAGCCGCCUCUUUAGCGGAGAAGUCUCAGACCAGUUUUUUCAAGCACGAAGGGCGGGGCAAGAGGGCGGCUGUUCGGCUGCACGGCGCAACACUGCCACCUGCAGACCAGAGAAACCCAACGCCACCAACCCCAGCGAAAACUCCAUCUUUUCCGUGGUCGUUCGGCGCAACGACCUGGAGCUCGUGGCUCAGGAAGGCCGGCGGGAGGGAGAUGAGGACCACGGAAAGGAAGAGAAGCGGCCAGAGCGGCCCCGGCA
rnacentral:lncRNA from 1 species